UACGGGGGGGGCAAGCGUUGUUCGGAAUUACUGGGCGUAAAGGGCUCGUAGGUGGCCAACUAAGUCAUACGUGAAAUCCCUCGGCUUAACCGGGGAACUGCGUCUGAUACUGGAUGGCUUGAGGUUGGGAGAGGGAUGCGGAAUUCCAGGUGUAGCGGUGAAAUGCGUAGAUAUCUGGAGGAACACCGGUGGCGAAGGCGGCGAUCCUGGACCAAUUCUGACACUGAGGAGCGAAAGCCAGGGGAGCAAACGGG
rnacentral:rRNA from 1 species